UACGAAGGGGGCUAGCGUUGCUCGGAAUUACUGGGCGUAAAGGGCGCGUAGGCGGCACUGUUAGUCAGGCGUGAAAGUCCUGGGCUCAACCUGGGAACUGCGCUUGAUACGGCAGAGCUAGAGGAUGGAAGAGGGUCGCGGAAUUCCCAGUGUAGAGGUGAAAUUCGUAGAUAUUGGGAAGAACACCGGUGGCGAAGGCGGCGACCUGGUCCAUUACUGACGCUGAGGCGCGACAGCGUGGGGAGCAAACAGGG
rnacentral:rRNA from 1 species